UACGUAGGGUGCGAGCGUUAAUCGGAAUACUGGGCGUAAAGCGUGCGCAGGCGGUGCGCCAAGCUCGAUGUGAAAGCCCCGGGCUUAACCUGGGAAUUGCAUUGAGGACUGGCGUGCUCGAGUGCGGCAGAGGGGGGUAGGAAUUCCACGUGUAGCAGUGAAAUGCGUAGAUAUGUGGAGGAAUACCGAUGGCGAAGGCAGCCCCCUGGGAUAACACUGAC
rnacentral:rRNA from 1 species